rnacentral:rRNA from 1 species
AUUGAACGCUGGCGGCAUGCUUUACACAUGCAAGUCGAACGGCAGCGCGGGCUUCGGCCUGGCGGCGAGUGGCGAACGGGUGAGUAAUGCAUCGGAACGUGCCCCGUAGUGGGGGAUAGCCCGGCGAAAGCCGGAUUAAUACCGCAUACGACCCGAGGGUGAAAGCGGGGGACCGAAAGGACUCGCGCAAUUGGAGCGGCCGACGUCGGAAUAGCUAGGUGGUGGGGUAAAGGCUUACCAAGGCGACGAUCCGUAGCUGGUCUGAGAGGACGACCAGCCACACUGGGACUGAGACACGGCCCAGACUCCUACGGGAGGCAGCAGUGGGUAAUUUUGGACAAUGGGGGCAACCCUGAUCCAGCCAUGCCGCGUGCGAGCAGAAGGCCUUCGGGUUGUAAACCGCUUUUGUUCGGGAAGAAAUCCUCUGGGCUAAUACCCCGGGGGGAUGACGGUACCGGAAGAAUAAGCACCGGCUAACUACGUG